UUUCCCGGUUGAUCCUGCCGGAGAUCACCGCUAUUGGGAUACGACUAAGCCAUGCGAGUCGAGAGGGUUCGGCCCUCGGCUGACGGCUCAGUAACACGUGGAUAAUCUUCCCUUAGGUGGAGGAUAACCUCGGGAAACUGAGAAUAAUACUCCAUAGAUCUAAGAUGCUGGAAUGCACUUAGAUUAAAAGCUCCGGCGCCUAAGGAUGAGUCUGCGGACUAUCAGGUUGUAGUCAGGGUAAGGUCCUGACUAGCCUACAACGGAUACGGGUUGUGAGAGCAAUAACCCGGAGACGAUAUCUGAGACACGAUAUCGGGCCCUACGGGGCGCAGCAGGCGCGAAACCUUCACAAUGUGCGAAAGCGCGAUGAGGGAAUCCCAAGUGCUUGCACUUAAGUGUAAGCUGUUUCUUUGUUUAAAACGCAGAGAGAGGAAGGGCUGGGUAAGACGGGUGCCAGCCGCCGCGGUAAUACCUGCAGCUCAAGUGGUGACCGCUAUUAUUGGGCCUAAAACGUUCGUAGCCUGCUGAGUAAAUGCUUGGGUAAAUCGUGCCGCUUAACGGUACGAAUUCCGGGUAGACUGCUCAGCUUGAGACCGGGAGAAGCUAGAGGUACUCCUGGGGUAGAGGUGAAAUUCUGUAAUCCUGGGGGGACCACCAGUGGCGAAGGCGUCUAGCUAGAACGGGUCUGACGGUGAGGGACGAAACCCUGGGGCGCAAACCGGAUUAGAUACCCGGGUAGUCCAGGGCGCAAACGCUGCUUGCUUGAUGUUAGCUGGGCUCCGGGCUCGGCUAGUGUCGGAGAGAAGUUGUUAAGCAAGCUGCCUGGGAAGUACGAUCGCAAGAUUGAAACUUAAAGGAAUUGGCGGGGGAGCACAGCAACGGGUGGAGCGUGCGGUUUAAUUGGAUUCAACGCCGGG
rnacentral:rRNA from 1 species